rnacentral:rRNA from 1 species
AUUGAACGCUGGCGGCAUGCCUUACACAUGCAAGUCGAACGGCAGCGGACCUUCGGGUGCCGGCGAGUGGCGAACGGGUGAGUAAUGCAUCGGAACGUACCUUUCAGUGGGGGAUAACGUAGCGAAAGUUACGCUAAUACCGCAUAUUCUGUGAGCAGGAAAGCAGGGGAUCGCAAGACCUUGCGCUGAUUGAGCGGCCGAUGUCAGAUUAGCUAGUUGGUGAGGUAAAGGCUCACCAAGGCGACGAUCUGUAGCGGGUCUGAGAGGAUGAUCCGCCACACUGGGACUGAGACACGGCCCAGACUCCUACGGGAGGCAGCAGUGGGGAAUUUUGGACAAUGGGCGCAAGCCUGAUCCAGCCAUGCCGCGUGCGGGAAGAAGGCCUUCGGGUUGUAAACCGCUUUUGGCAGGAACGAAACGGCGACUCCUAAUACGGGUGGCUAAUGACGGUACCUGCAGAAUAAGCACCGGCUAACUACGUGCCAGCCGCCGCAGUAAAAC